rnacentral:rRNA from 1 species
GAUGAACGCUGGCGGCGUGCCUAAUACAUGCAAGUCGAGCGAACGGACGAGAAGCUUGCUUCUCUGAUGUUAGCGGCGGACGGGUGAGUAACACGUGGAUAACCUACCUAUAAGACUGGGGUAACUUCGGGAAACCGGAGCUAAUACCGGAUGAUAUUUUGAACCGCAUGGUUCAAAAGUGAAAGACGGUCUUGCUGUCACUUAUAGAUGGAUCCGCGCUGCAUUAGCUAGUUGGUAAGGUAACGGCUUACCAAGGCAACGAUGCAUAGCCGACCUGAGAGGGUGAUCGGCCACACUGGAACUGAGACACGGUCCAGACUCCUACGGGAGGCAGCAGUAGGGAAUCUUCCGCAAUGGGCGAAAGCCUGACGGAGCAACGCCGCGUGAGUGAUGAAGGUCUUCGGAUCUUAAAACUCUGUUAUUAGGGAAGAACAUAUGUGUAAGUAACUGUGCACAUCUUGACGGUACCUAAUCAGAAAGCCACGGCUAACUACGUG